rnacentral:hammerhead_ribozyme from 1 species
GUCCAGCUGACGAGUCUCAAAUAGGACGAAACGCGCGUUCUGGAU